rnacentral:lncRNA from 1 species
AUCUUCCAUAUACUGAAAAUUGUUUAACCAUUAAACUUUUCUGGCUUAUACUUUGUGGAAUAUGAUAUCAUCUUGAAACCCUAGAUUGUGCACAAAAUAAAUAAAGAAGACGUCACUAUCAAGAAGAAACAAUUGUGCAUAGGGAAACACAAUCGCUCACAAAAUCAUUGAGUUUGAUGCAAUCACCACUAUAUAUGACACAAUACUCGCUGAGGACAAACCUAAACCAGUGGAA